CUAAUACCGCAUAAGAUUACAGUACCGCAUGAUACAGUGAUCAAAGGAGCAAUCCGCUGAAAGAUGGGCUCGCGUCCGAUUAGAUAGUUGGUGAGGUAACGGCUCACCAAGUCGACGAUCAGUAGCCGGACUGAGAGGUUGAACGGCCACAUUGGGACUGAGACACGGCCCAGACUCCUACGGGAGGCAGCAGUGGGGAAUAUUGCACAAUGGGCGAAAGCCUGAUGCAGCAACGCCGCGUGAGGGAAGACGGUUUUCGGAUUGUAAACCUCUGUUUUCGGUGACGAAUAAAUGACGGUAACCGAGUAGGAAGCCACGGCUAACUACGUGCCAGCAGCCGCGGUAAUACGUAGGUGGCAAGCGUUAUCCGGAAUUACUGGGUGUAAAGGGAGCGCAGGCGGGAUAGCAAGUCAGUUGUGAAAACUAUGGGCUCAACCCAUAGAUUGCAGUUGAAACUGUUAUUCUUGAGUGGAGUAGAGGCAAGCGGAAUUCCGAGUGUAGCGGUGAAAUGCGUAGAUAUUCGGAGGAACACCAGUGGCGAAGGCGGCUUGCUGGGCUCUAACUGACGCUGAGGCUCGAAAGUGUGGGGAGCAAACAGGAUUAGAUACCCUGGUAGUCCACACUGUAAAC
rnacentral:rRNA from 1 species